UACAGGGGGUGCAAACGUUGCUCGGAAUCACUGGGCGUAAAGCGCACGUAGGCGGAUUGUUAAGUCAGGGGUGAAAUCCUGGAGCUCAACUCCAGAACUGCCUUUGAUACUGGCGAUCUUGAGUCCGGGAGAGGUGAGUGGAACUGCGAGUGUAGAGGUGAAAUUCGUAGAUAUUCGCAAGAACACCAGUGGCGAAGGCGGACUCACUGGCCCGGUACUGACGCUGAGGUGCGGAAAGCGUGGGGAGCAAACAGG
rnacentral:rRNA from 1 species